GGGAAGGUAGCUCAGUGGUAGAGUGCUUGCUUCACAUGCAUGAGGCCCUGGGUUUAAUUCCUCAGCCCCA
rnacentral:tRNA from 1 species